rnacentral:lncRNA from 1 species
CUCGCCUCCCGUGGCGCUCGGCCGAGGUGGCCUCCGCGUUGCGCCACCGAACGAGCUUGGGAGGCGCCGCGAAGGCACCGCGGGUCCGGGCGCGGCCCGGAAAAGAAGCGAGAAGGGCAGGGGACGGGCGCCGCCGAAGGUCCCGAAGGUAGCCUGCUGAAGCCCAGCAGGGGGCUCGGACGUCGCCCCGCCCCGGAACAUGGACGCAGGCUUCCCGCACCACCUUGGGGCAGACCUCCGCGGCCACCCCGGCCCCAUGUCCACUACCAGAGCAAAGCCCACGACAGUGGCCAGCCUUGCCACUCCCGGGACAGAAGCAGUGCCCCUCGGCCAAUGGCUCGGAGGAGGUUAGGAGCGACCUGCAGAUACCUGAUGGCCUUUGGCAAUUGGGAACUUUAUGGAACCGGGAUCAAGACUCAGGACCCAGGGGGCAGGUCUGAAAUACGGCUGAUUGGGUUUGCUCUUAACAAACAUAUGAUCAUCUCACAGACAUAAUAUCUCAUCCUGUUUUGUUAUCGAAACAUCACCUACGAUUUUGAAGGUGGUUCUCUUCAAAGAAACAACCAGAGAGCUCAGAUGCUAAGGGGAGGAGCCUGUGGGGAGCUAAGUCCUGGAAAGCUGUGUGUGCCUGUGAUCCUGGCUACUCCAUAGGAUGAGGCAGGAAGAUCUGGAAAGUUCAAGGCCAGCUCAAGCACCUUAGCUGGAAGUUCCAGGAGUCCAUAGGAAAGACAAUGGAGACACAUUCACUGAAGAUUGUCGGAGAAUGAAGUAACACGUAGGGAAAGGUCCAUCAUUGUCGAUGGGUGCGAUUUAAAAAACUACGGUGAAUACUGCUGUCUAGGGUCAUCCAACAGGAAGGCAGGCUUGUAAAAAUGUGACGCUGUGUCCUCGUCCUCCUUAUUCACUGGAUCUGGCAUGGAGUGACUUCUGACUCUUCCCCAAAGUCAAAAUGGCCAUGCAAGAUCAACCUUUUGAAUCAAUUCAGGACAUCAAGGCAGCCAUGACUAUGAAACUAAAGACACACACGAAAGUUGACUUCCAGAACUGCUUUAGAAGAUGGCAAGGACAGUGAGGUGGAAACAAGCCAAAUGUCCACUGACAUACGAAUGGGGAAACAAAUAUUAUUCAGCCUUUAAAAAGAAGGAAAAUCUGACUCAUGCUGUAACAUGAAUGAACCUUGAAGACAUGCAGAGUGAAAUAAACCAGACACAAAAAGAUAAACCCUAUGGGAUUCCACUUGUAUGAGGUAUCUAAAGUAGUCAAAGUCAUGGAAACAAAGCAAAAUGGUGAUUCCUCGCUGGAGCAAUUCUUCAGUAUUACCCCAUCAAAUAGGCUAAUAAAAAAUUUAAAAAUAUAGUAGUAAUUUAAAAGUUGGAACAGAUACUUUAUAAAAGAAGUCACAUGAACAGGAAGUGAUUAAAGAGCUGAUUAUUGAACAAGGAAACAAAUUAAACCCACAUGAGAUGCCACCAUGUACCUGCUAGAAAUGCUGAAAUUAAAUUACAUGAGGAUGUGGAGAAACUGAAGCUCAUAUAUUGCUGGUGAGAAUGUAAAAUGGUAGAAUCACUUGGGGAAAAGUUCUGGGAUUUUUUGUUUUAUAAAGUUAAACAUGCACAGGAAAACCAAGUAAUUCCACUCCUGUGUAUUUACCCAAGAAAAACUAAAACAGGUUCACAAAAACACUUGUACAGAAAUGUUCAUCACUGCUGUAUUUAUAAAUCUAAAAACAG